UACAGAGGUCUCAAGCGUUGUUCGGAUUCAUUGGGCGUAAAGGGUGCGUAGGUGGCGCUGUAAGUCGGGUGUGAAAUUUCGGAGCUUAACUCCGAAACUGCAUUCGAUACUGCGGUGCUUGAGGACUGGAGAGGAGACUGGAAUUCAUGGUGUAGCAGUGAAAUGCGUAGAGAUCAUGAGGAAGACCAGUGGCGAAGGCGGGUCUCUGGGCCGAUAUGACGCUGAGGAGCGAAGCGUGGGAGCGACAGG
rnacentral:rRNA from 1 species